ACUCUACCAUCCAGUGACAUUGGCCUCCUUGCUAUGUCACUCUAUGCGUUUUCACCUACUGUCCACCAUGCCUGGAAUGCUCUCUCUUCUCAUCUCCAUCUCCAGACGGCCCUGGAUUCCUUCAGGUGCCUGUGUCUGAAGAUCAAAAAGCCCUUAAGAAACAAAAGAAAUCACUCAUCACACAAGUGGGAAGCACCAUGAAAAUUGCUGCUUCAAGAAAGAAAUAGCCAAGGUAAUCAUCUUGUAAUUGGCUGUGGGAUGAACCACAAAGAAAGCCUAUUCCAGUCUGGGGAAUUCAGCAAAUCUGCAAAAGACCUACUAAAUAAGCACACCUGCUUCAUUUUCUGGUUGAAUUUCUGCUUUGCCUAAUAAAUCAGUCAAGUUCAUACAUUCAGGGUGAAAUACCUGAAAAAGAGAAAAGUUGAAGAACCUCACAUCACUGAAAAUCUUUACUUAAUACAAACUCCUCAGUCUAGCAGACCUAAUGGAGCCAAUGAAGAGGUUUGAUGGAGCCAGCUUAUGCCAGCUUAAAAGAUUCAAUCUCAUGUGUUUCUUUUUUGUCGUCCUUAUGAUAUUGAUACUAUUAAUAAUCGGUAAUAGUGAUGAUGAUGAUGAUGAUGAUGAUAAAAGAAGAAAUUCAAAACAAAUGGGAACAGAAUGAAAUACACAGUAUCCCUGUCAUCCUGCCUGCUAUUGGAGUUGUGCUAGAAAUGCUUUUGAGAGCGAGGUUGAUGACUUUCCCCAACUCUGCCUCACUUAAAUUCAAUUCAUGAGCAAGUCAGGACAUCGCCCCAUGAUGUCACUGGUCCUUUUUGAAAUCGAAGGAUGAAAAUCAGCAAUAACAACAAUGGUAACAAUAUCAUCAGCACCAGCACCAGUAACAACAAUGCAGACCAGUUUGUCUGAUUCCGGAAUUCCAAUAUGGCAUCAGGUGAGGAAACUGAGGCCCAGAGAAGCAAGAAGACCAAGUAUAUAUUCAGAAAGGAGGCCCUUGUAUAUUGCGAUUUCUCUAGCCUCUUGGAUAAAACAACAUAAGAAGCAGACAAAGAGUCACAGAAUAUCAGGGUUGGAAAGGACCUCAGAGACCAUCUAGCCCAACUCAUAUUCCAUAAGCAACUUUCUUCUAAGACAUAUUCAACCCAGGCCUCCAAGGAAAGGAAUGUAUACAUCACUUCCCAGAGCAGACCAUUCCACUUGUGGAUGACAGUGUUUUAUAAUUUCUAUUAAAUCCAGACUAAA